rnacentral:rRNA from 1 species
UACGUAGGGAGCAAGCGUUGUCCGGAAUCAUUGGGCGUAAAAGCGCGCGUAGGUGGCCUCAUAAGUCCGCUGUGAAAGUCAAAGGCUCAACCUUUGAAAGCCGGUGGAUACUGUGAGGCUAGAGUACGGAAGAGGCGAGUGGAAUUCCUGGUGUAGCGGUGGAAUGCGCAGAUAUCAGGAGGAACACCAAUAGCGAAGGCAGCUCGCUGGGACGUUACUGACACUGAGGCGCGAAAGCGUGGGGAGCGAACAGG